UAAAUUAGUUUUGAAUUUUAAAUUUUACUUUUAAAAAAAUGAAAACAAAGCGAUUGGAAUCAUUUAUCGACAACCCUUGACAACCUGAAGAUCACCUCAUUUUGGUCGAUAAAUUGCACAGAAAUGCUCAAAAACUACUGAGCAAUAUCAUGGAUAAAUUUAUUUGGCGUAAAAAUUUGUCAUUUCAUCGAUGGUGAAGCUACAGGCACUAGUUGUGCAGCAGCAGCAACAGUCUAGCGGCAGUCCGACGGUGUACCGGUAAAUUGUUGUAUUUUUUUCGUAUUUAAUACUUUAAUUAACAUAAAAAGGAUUAUCAAUAAUAUAAAUUAUAAAA
rnacentral:lncRNA from 1 species